rnacentral:rRNA from 1 species
GACGGAGGGCGCAAGCGUUGUUCGGAAUUACUGGGCGUAAAGCGCGCGCAGGCGGGAAGAUAAGUCUGGAGUGAAAUUCCGGGGCUCAACUCCGGAGCUGCUUUGGAUACUGUUUUUCUAGGGACCGGUAGAGGCCGGUGGAAUUCCCGGUGUAGUGGUGAAAUGCGUAGAGAUCGGGAGGAACACCAGUGGCGAAGGCGGCCGGCUGGGGGUGACCUGACGCUGAGGCGCGAAAGCGUGGGGAGCGAACCGG